GAUGAACGCUGGCGGCGUGCCUAAUACAUGCAAGUCGAGCGAAGCGGGGAGGGGUGAGUAAAACGUGGAGAAACUCCUAGAAGACUGGGAUAACUUCGGGAAACCGGAGCUAAACCGGAUACUUAGAGCAGGAUCUGGGAUGCAUUAGCUAGUAGGUAAGGUAACGGCUUACAAAGGCAACGAUGCAUAGCCGACCUGAGAGGGUGAUCAGCCACACUGGAACUGAGACACGGUCCAGACUCCUACGGGAGGCAGCAGUGGGGAAUCUUCCGCAAUGGGCGAAAGCCUGACGGAGCCACGCCGCGUGUGUGAAGAAGGUCUUCGGAUCGUAAAACUCUGUUAUUAGGGAAGCGGUACCUGAUCAGGAAGCCCCGGCUAACUACGUGCCAGCAGCCGCGGUAAUUC
rnacentral:rRNA from 1 species